GCGCGCGCGCUGCAGGCCUGUCGCCGGCCGAGCGGGCGUUAUUGCCGCCGCAUGUUGCGAGGUUGGAGACGCCAGAACCGCAGUACACGCCACCGCCUGUGCCCAAUCCAUUGGAACCGCUGCCACCCGGCAUGGAGUGACGAAAGGCCUUACAACUUACAAACUGACUCCUUACACGAAAUUCACUGGUUAUGCUUAUACUUAAUACAACAGAUACACAAACGUGAAUACAUAAUUAUGGCAUAUCCUGCGGGCAGGUCGUGAAAUUGCUCCAUAUUUUAUCCAUUGUUCAAGUUUUAUUAACCUGUUCUUUUAACGUUAUAAGUUACUUUCAAUAUACCUUAUUUUUAUUACUACAUACUUUUAAACCCUGAAUCAAAGAAUUAUAAUAAUACCACAAUCAAUGAUAGUGUCUUUCUGUAUUCUUUGCUAUGUUUGCGGCCAUGUAGACAUGUAGUAGAACGCAAGCUUACUAUAUUCAAAACGCGAAUAUGUAUUUCGAAAAGUACAAGGUAAAUAAAGACAUGUUAUCGACUUGAACUCGCAUCAAGUGUUAAAUGUAAAAAUAAAUUUCUAAGAUGUGCAAAUUAUGAAAUUAAAUAGUUCAAAUUCCAUGAAAUUAUGAGUAGUAAAAUUCUAGAACAUUCAACGUUUACAUAUUUAUUGUUACUGGUUUAAUCUUAAUAUUAUGCUGUUACUCUAGAACGAAUAUGUUUUGUUUUUCUACGGAAGACUGUACAUUAAACUAAAUGUUGGUCUCAUAAGCAGUGGUAAUAAGUUAAAUUUUAGGGCGCCUUCAAAUUGGAGGCGUAACGAAGCGCCCAUAGUGGCAUACAAUUUCUAAAGGCGCAACAACCGCGUGUCUUUAUGACGACACAGCGGUGUCACAUUGGUAGGGGCGCUGCAACUGCGCUGGUAGAAAAUGUAUGAAAACUAUCAGUGGUAUCACUGCAGCGCUUCCUCACGCGGCACGCCUCUAAUUUAAAGGCGGAGCGCCUUACAAACAAAAUAAGAUGUGCUGGCGACAGAACUUAUAGAGGUCAACUAAAUGUAGCGACAUAAAAAUAAAUGGAGUGUUCUAUGAUGAAUCGACAUAAAUGUCAGAAAAGUAAAAAAGAUAGCAAAACAAGUUUGUAAAUAGAACAUGGUUAUUAUUUUCUUAUUAAUAUGUUUAAGAAAUAAAUAAUUUAAGUAUGUAAUACAA